rnacentral:rRNA from 1 species
GAUGAACGCUGGCGGCGUGCCUAAUACAUGCAAGUCGAGCGAACAGACGAGGAGCUUGCUCCUCUGACGUUAGCGGCGGACGGGUGAGUAACACGUGGAUAACCUACCUAUAAGACUGGGAUAACUUCGGGAAACCGGAGCUAAUACCGGAUAAUAUAUUGAACCGCAUGGUUCAAUAGUGAAAGACGGUUUUGCUGUCACUUAUAGAUGGAUCCGCGCCGCAUUAGCUAGUUGGUAAGGUAACGGCUUACCAAGGCAACGAUGCGUAGCCGACCUGAGAGGGUGAUCGGCCACACUGGAACUGAGACACGGUCCAGACUCCUACGGGAGGCAGCAGUAGGGAAUCUUCCGCAAUGGGCGAAAGCUUGACGGAGCAACGCCGCGUGAGUGAUGAAGGUCUUCGGAUCGUAAAACUCUGUUAUUAGGGAAGAACAAAUGUGUAAGUAACUAUGCACGUCUUGACGGUACCUAAUCAGAGAGCCACGGCUAACUACGUG